rnacentral:rRNA from 1 species
UACGGGGGGGGGCAAGCGUUGUUCGGAAUUACUGGGCGUAAAGGGCUCGUAGGCGGCCAACUAAGUCAGACGUGAAAUCCCUCGGCUUAACCGGGGAACUGCGUCUGAUACUGGAUGGCUUGAGAUUGGGAGAGGGAUGCGGAAUUCCAGGUGUAGCGGUGAAAUGCGUAGAUAUCUGGAGGAACACCAACGGCGAAAGCACUCUGCUGGGCCGACACUGACACUGAGAGACGAAAGCUAGGGGAGCGAAUGGG